GUUAAAAAGCUCGUAGUUGGAUUUCUGGUGGGAGGGAGCCGUCCGAUCUCAGAUUGGUACGUGUUCCUCUCCGGCCAUCCUUGAGUCUAACCUCUUUGGCAUUAAGUUGUCGAGGUGGGGAUACUCAUCGUUUACUGUGAAAAAAUUAGAGUGUUCAAAGCAGGCUUAUGCCGUUGAAUAUAUUAGCAUGGAAUAAUAAGAUAGGACCUCGGUACUAUUUUGUUGGUUUGCGCACCAAGGUAAUGAUCAAUAGGGACAGUUGGGGGUAUUCGUAUUCAGUAGUCAGAGGUGAAAUUCUUAGAUUUACUGAAGACGAACUACUGCGAAAGCAUUUACCAAGGAUGUUUUCAUUAAUCAAGAACGAAAGUAUGGGGAUCGAAGAUGAUUAGAUACCAUCGUAGUCUAUACCAUAAACUAUGCCGACUCAGGAUGGGGAGCUGCUUUUUAGCGCUCUCU
rnacentral:rRNA from 1 species